GUUACGAGCAAAGGGGAGUAACUUCCUUGCCGGCCGAUCGUCAUUACGAUGCGUGUAAUACCGCAUCCGGUCGCCGGGCAAUCACCAAGGCCCAUCGCGAUGAACUUUGGUUGUUGUAAGUGAGACCUUGCCGGAAGG
rnacentral:misc_RNA from 1 species